GCUGAUAUGGCUCAGUUGGUAGAGCGUACCCUUGGUAAGGGUGAGGUCCCCAGUUCGACUCUGGGUAUCAGCACCA
rnacentral:tRNA from 11 species